UAUGGGAGAAAAAUCAAAACCGUAAACGUCGUCCCAAACUGAGAAAUGAAUGGUUAGAAAGAUACCGACAGAUACUUAACUUAAACUUACAUCCAAUUUUUUCAGAUUUGUAAUCAGCAUCUUCGAUGGCUGCUAGUUGAAUCUGGGCGCGAUCGGGGAAUAGAAGACCAUCAGGUGCAAGAUAGCGGUCACGAGCAACGAGAACUGUGUCGAGCAUGCUCUCGUAAAGUAAAAAGUAGCCCAUCCAUUCGGAUACAAUAAUAUCUACUUUUUCCACAGGAAGUUGUAUUUCUUCCAUUUUGCCUUGUAUUAGAGUAAUACGGUCGGAAAGUUUAUUAACUUCAACAAUCUGUACAGCUUUGUGGAUAAUUUCGCUCAUGUCAACCUACGUUUCGUUAACAAUUUAUGCAGGGGAGAUAAAUGGAAUAAACAUACACCAUAUACGUGUUUAGCGCCUGCUCUAGCGCAAAACAUGGAAAGAAUACCGGUACCACAUCCAACCUAACAGGUUAGCAAGCGAAAGAAAAAAUAUGUAAGUGAAGAAAAACGAGAUCUAUCCUAAAUAACUGGUAAGCAUACAUCAAGAACAAUUUUAUCACGAAAGAGAUGUGGGUUUUGCAUGAUUGCGUCGCGAUAGGAAAGCGUACGGACAUCAUCCUUUAACAUUUCUUCAUGAAUUCCCCAAUGAGAGUAACUGAAAAUUAGUAUACUGAUCGGAUAAUCAAAAAAUCACAAUUCAAGUAUUUUAAAAAGAUAAAAAUUUAUAACUCUUGAUGACAAUUGCCUUCACGAAGAGAUCGAAAACCUAAUUAAAUUGCUUCUACGUCGUUGAUUGUUGCGAUUAAUAAAACAGUAAAAAUACCUGUCAAAAUAAUCUAUUUAUUAGCAAGGACUGACGGGAAAAGUUAAUGUGGUUUAAGUUGGGAUUAAAAGUAUCUUUUCAACGAAUGUCAGAUAAACAGAAAUAAUCAACCUCAUUUGGCAAGGUAUGUAUUAAGAACAGUCAUUGACUGACAGACGAAUCGUUGAGUCUAUGGUUAAGUAUAAGCCGGAAGCAUAUACUUGAGGGAAAUGUCCAAAUGACUAAACGGACUGAAAACCCGAUAUCCUACCAACUCAAUCACUGAAUUAAAAAACUUACAAUCCUAUGUUUAGUUAAUAAAAUACUCAACAGUGGAAUUGCAUCCAGAACAAUUAGUAUCAUCAUAGAGCAAAAAACAUACCUUGGCAGUCAAGCCAGAAUCCGCGCUUUUCUUGGU